rnacentral:rRNA from 1 species
GCUUAACACAUGCAAGUCGAACGAUGAAGCCCAGCUUGCUGGGUGGAUUAGUGGCGAACGGGUGAGUAACACGUGAGUAACCUGCCCUUGACUCUGGAAUAAGCGUUGGAAACGACGUCUAAUACCGGAUACGAGCUUCCACCGCAUGGUGAGUUGCUGGAAAGAAUUUUGGUCAAGGAUGGACUCGCGGCCUAUCAGCUUGUUGGUGAGGUAAUGGCUCACCAAGGCGACGACGGGUAGCCGGCCUGAGAGGGUGACCGGCCACACUGGAACUGAGACACGGCCCAGACUCCUACGGGAGGCAGCAGUGGGGAAUAUUGCACAAUGGGCGAAAGCCUGAUGCAGCAACGCCGCGUGAGGGACGACGGCCUUCGGGUUGUAAACCUCUUUUAGCAGGGAAGAAGCGAAAGUGACGGUACCUGCAGAAAAAGCACCGGCUAACUACGUGCCAGCAGCCGCGGUAAUACGUAGGGUGCAAGCGUUGUCCGGAAUUAUUGGGCGUAAAGAGCUCGUAGGCGGUUUGUCGCGUCUGCUGUGAAAUCCCGAGGCUCAACCUCGGGUCUGCAGUGGGUACGGGCAGACUAGAGUGCGGUAGGGGAGAUUGGAAUUCCUGGUGUAGCGGUGGAAUGCGCAGAUAUCAGGAGGAACACCGAUGGCGAAGGCAGAUCUCUGGGCCGCUACUGACGCUGAGGAGCGAAAGGGUGGGGAGCAAACAGGCUUAGAUACCCUGGUAGUCCACCCCGUAAACGUUGGGCGCUAGAUGUGGGGACCAUUCCACGGUUUCCGUGUCGUAGCUAACGCAUUAAGCGCCCCGCCUGGGGAGUACGGCCGCAAGGCUAAAACUCAAAGGAAUUGACGGGGGCCCGCACAAGCGGCGGAGCAUGCGGAUUAAUUCGAUGCAACGCGAAGAACCUUACCAAGGCUUGACAUAUACGAGAACGGGCCAGAAAUGGUCAACUCUUUGGACACUCGUAAACAGGUGGUGCAUGGUUGUCGUCAGCUCGUGUCGUGAGAUGUUGGGUUAAGUCCCGCAACGAGCGCAACCCUCGUUCUAUGUUGCCAGCACGUAAUGGUGGGAACUCAUGGGAUACUGCCGGGGUCAACUCGGAGGAAGGUGGGGACGACGUCAAAUCAUCAUGCCCCUUAUUUCUUGGGCUUCACGCAUGCUACAAUGGCCAGUACAAAGGGCUGCAAUACCGUAAGGUGGAGCGAAUCCCAAAAAGCUGGUCCCAGUUCGGAUUGAGGUCUGCAACUCGACCUCAUGAAGUCGGAGUCGCUAGUAAUCGCAGAUCAGCAACGCUGCGGUGAAUACGUUCCCGGGCCUUGUACACACCGCCCGUCAAGUCAUGAAAGUCGGUAACACCCGAAGCCAGUGGCCUAACCGCAAGGAUGGAGCUGUCUAAGGUGGGAUCGGUAAUUAGG